AUGAAUUACACUGAGAGUCUUGUUUCUAUUGAGGGGAUGGUGAGUGUUGGAGAAGGAGCUGUCAAAGAAGAGAGACAGGAGGCAGCUCCACUCGCUGCAACUAAUAGGAAUGCUUCGAAUGCUAUGAUGUCAGACAAUAUGGACUGAGUCUCUCAAAAAAUUGUUGCCGUGUGUAAGUUGGUUUUUGGCUUUCUGUGAAAGUAAGGAAAGACAAUGACUUGGAGAAAUCUUGUUAUAUGCACAACAG